GGCUGGUUACGCCGUAUUCAGAAUUGAGCGGCACUGCCCGAGCCCGAAGUUCCAGGAAGCACAACGACACGUGGAGAAAAUGGAGGUGGACACGGACGGUGUGGACACGGCAAAGGCCUACGCGCCGAGUAGCGAUGUUAGCUUGAAAUUACCAGAGACACCGACUGACGAUCCUCUGUACGGCGACAGCGACAACUUUAUAUCGUGCAAUUAAUUGUAUUCUUUAUCGCAAAAAAAAUAAUAGCAGGUAUUUGAUCAUCGACGUCGGGCAGAAGGCUCAUUAUGACGGAUCCAAAAUUACGUUCGACAAGUGCAUCAACAUUCCACAAUCGGAAAUUAAACCGGGUAUGAAUGUAUCAUAAACGUAAGACAUCAUAUGGUAUCGCGAAUAUCCUCUCUUCAAUAGACCAAGGAAGAAUUUAAUGUACGACGUGUGCUAAUAAUGUUUUUAUCACGAUUGAGUAUCAAUCUCUGCGAAUUGCGUAAGAGCGAUGGGCUGAAGCACGGGAUUGCGAUUUGUAUUUUAUUUUUCUUUUCGCCGAUAUAUUUCGUUCUACAAUAAAGCAAGUGUAAAAAGAGCAAGUUGUAUAGGUAUCAUAAUGUACGUUUGAUUUCUGUAUCAUUGUAUAGCUUAUGAAGUUUUUGUUAUUACUAUACUUUAAAAGGCCCUGUAUUCUUUUUAUUAGACUGAAUUUGUAGAAUACGAUCGCUCAUUUUACGAGAAUGUUUGUUACGCUAUAUGAUACAAAAGUGAAAUUGUGAAAUUAUAUAGAAUAUGUAUUUACCGAUCAAUGAACGCUACUAAAAUUAUUCAGAUCGCAUUUCCCACUUUUACUAUCUUAAUCAUAAAGAAUAUAUAUGGAACAAUUCAUUGUGCCAUAAUAAAUCUCGUAUUGUACUAUUUUUCCUGUUGAAAUUUUAAUAUUAAUCUAUUUAGAAAGAGAUUUGUUAAUUUUGUUUCCAACGUAAAGAUUAUGUGUAUUUGCUUUCUUCAUGUAGUCCUAUAUUAAAAUUUCCAUUAUUCCAAA